rnacentral:lncRNA from 1 species
GUCAAAGUGAACUAAUCCACAAGUAAAGAAUCAUGACGAACUCAGGUCUAAGGACUAUACUCUAUAGUCGUAAUGAGAAACUCUUAUGACACUCAUAUAUCAAUCUUGUAGAGUUCUCAUUAGCGGGUCAGUUCGAUCAUGUGUUCUCUAACACUUAUCCAUGUGAUUGACUUCAAUACCACAUAUUGAAUGACUCUAUGAAACUUAGUCAUCAAUCACCUCACAUACUAGCC